rnacentral:tRNA from 1 species
GUGGCAGUGCGUGGUCACGCUGUCCGCAUUGUAAGCGGAUGAUUCUGGGUUCGAUUCCCAUCUGCUCCA